GGGGGAGUGCAGGAUCUUGGACUGUGUCCCCCGGCACCCUGGGCUCCAGGGCCUGCACCACUGGAAUCGCACUCCUGGGCCACCCAGCAUCCCCU
rnacentral:pre_miRNA from 1 species